AGUGAACGCUGGCGGCGUGCUUAACACAUGCAAGUCGAACGAGAACGGGUUAUAGCUUGCUAUAAUUGUCAGCUAAGUGGCGCACGGGUGAGUAAUGUAUAGGUAAUAUGCCUCUUACUAAGGGAUAACAAAUGGAAACGUUUGCUAAUACCUUAUACUCCUUAUUAACAUAAGUUAAUAAGGGAAAGAUUUAUUGGUAAGAGAUUAGCCUGUAUUGUAUCAGUUAGUUGGUGGGGUAAUGGCUUACCAAGACUAUGACACAUAACUGGUUUGAGAGGAUGAUCAGUCACACUGGAACUGAGACACGGUCCAGACUCCUACGGGAGGCAGCAGUGGGGAAUAUUGCACCAUGGACGAAAGUCUGAUGCAGCAACGCCGCGUGGAGGAUGACACAUUUCGGUGCGUAAACUCCUUUUAUAUGAGAAGAUAAUGACGGUAUUAUGUGAAUAAGCACCGGCUAACUCCGUGCCAGCAGCCGCGGUAA
rnacentral:rRNA from 1 species